CGCCGCCGGCUCGCCGUGCUGGGGCGGAGGGGAUGGGCCGGGCGGGCCGCCCCGCAGCUCCCCAGCCGCCAGCUCCGGAGCGGCAGCGGGACGAAUCCGCUCCCUGACCUUGAUCGCCGGCCCGGGGACUCCUCCUGACCCCGGCUGAGGGCCGGGGGAGCCGGCGGGGCAGGGGGAGGAGCUCCGGGCGGCAGCAUUAAACUUUAAGGCAAACUUGCCCGUGACGUAAAGGCGGGGAAGAAUGGCCCUGCGGUUUCUCUGACAUGGAAGGAUCUACUUAGAUGCAUACAUCAACAGCAAAACAUUCACACUUGGUGCAGACUUGGUACACUGGUCUCAAUAGAAACUUUUAGCCCUUUUAGCUGCUUGCUUACAGGAGUUUGAUAUAACUCAGCAGUGUGACUUUUCACAGAGGUCAAAGGGCUGAACAGAAACCUGUAAGACACCUACGUCAACCAAUGCAGAGAUUUUACUGGCUAAUACACUGUAAUGCUGAGCCUUGCUUACAUAAGAAAGUAUAUAUGGGAUGAUCUACCUGCAAAAGCAUCUUAAAUCACCUGGUCAAUGGAUGCUCUCUGCAGAGACACAUAUUAUACCAUACUGAUAAUUGAUACUAGACCUGAGCGAAACAGUCAUCUGUCAGACGGCCUUGGCUCCGAAUGCUUCCUGAGCAAUUCAGAAGACGAGGGAAAUGGUUCCAAAUCUUCAUUCCCCAUACUGACGUCUUCCACUCCCGUGGCAAAGCAGAUGGAGGUACCAGCUACAUCACGUGCUGAGGAGCGAGCCUGUUCCCUCGGUGCAGUCUGUGCAAGUCUGAUCAGAUAUCGUUCUUCUGGAGGUCAGGAGAUGGAAAAUGACAGAGAAGCAGAAAUUUCCCAUUGACUGGAACUUCCUCAGUGAAUUAGCAUGGAGAACAACCAAUUUAAAUAAGAUGCCAUAGAUAUGUAAGCUACUAAAGGAUAAACUGACCUUAGAGGAAUCAAACGGAGAUCAAUAACUGAGACAAGAAUUGGCUCUUAUUCUCCUGUUUGAAUAUAUUCCUGUUGGCAUGCAGUCAACUACAUAUAGGUAACUGCAAUCCAAUCCAUGUGGCAGCAGGUUACCUGCUCCUUGCCUACUCAUAUGGUAAGUGUAGUCUUUUGGAAAAAUUAAGGAAUUGUAUCCAAUAAUCCAUUACAGUCUCUGCACCUCAUACUGCAUUAGAAGAAAAGUCAAUAAUGUAAUGAUGAGACCUAUUUAACCUUUGAUAAUAUUUCUUCAUUGGAGCACUAUCUUCCAAACUUGGUUAGGACUGUUACAAGAGGGAGUUUUCCAAGGCCUGCUGGGACUUCUUGUCUUGAGAAUACUUUGAUGUCUGAUACCGGAAUUACAGAAAUGUCCAACAUAAUUUCUCUGAGCCCAUAUAGUAUUUUACCUGAUCUUCACAGCUGUCUUGCUUUGAAUGAAUAUUGUCCUGAAUCAGUUUGGGGUUUGUUUCUUUUCUUUUUUUUUUUUUUUCCUGGCAAUACUGCAGCAGUUGCCCCAUGUUAGUUUUAAAUGUAAGAUAUAGUCUGUUCAGUUCAACAUUGAAUACUACUGUAUGUUUUUUCCUGCACAUUUUGUCCCUUGGAAUGUGAAAUCAUCAUGUGAUGUACACUGAUGACAGCAAUGUUAUCUCCAGGUUCUCUGGGCAGCCUCUAUGUUGUUAGGAAAGUACCUAUUUUAUGACACUUCCAUCAGUCCUCUCUGCUGUCCAUAGUUUCCAGCUGUUGCUUGUUAUCAUGCUCCUUCCUCUACAGCUCUACUGUUCUCUCUUGUGAAGAGAUAUUGUUCUCCCUGUCCCUACUCGUGCACUAUUUUUGUAUUAUGAGACUGCUGCUGUUGCUAUUUCAGUUCUGUUUGGCUCAUCUUCUGUGUAUUGAGGCCACCUGAUACAGGACUUCUGCUUUGGGAAUGGUAAGUAACAUUGCCUGCGCUUGAAUCGGAGUGACAGUGUCUCUUCCCAGAAGCAGGCUCCUUUUAUAUGUUUGACUAUUCUUUCUCUUAUUAGUUCUCUUUUGAAGUCCACAUAUCUGCAGCAUUCAGCAAACCUAUCAACUGCUGUCAUGAAAGCUUCAUUCUUUACCUUUAUUCCUAGCAUUUUAUUAUAACAAGUGAUUCUGUCUGAAACUGUUUCUUGAAGCAAGUCACAAGGAAUAAUAGACUACUCCAGCUUUUGAGACAUGCUUUCCUGUCACUGUAAACUUAGACACAAUAACUAGGAAGGAGCCUUAAAAAAUAGUUUGAUAAUAGUUUGUUUCUUAAUUAAAAUAGAUCUCAGUUAGCAGCUUGCCACUGCCAGUUGUUCUACUUGAAUUGGUUUUCCUCACCCAAUAAUGAGAAUCUGUCCCCUAGAAAGUUUGCCUAAGUUAUUACCUUUUUGUAAUUCGUCUAAUAACAUAUAAUAUAAUAUAAUAUAAUAUUAACUAAGACAGGAAAUUGUGACAUUUAUUGCACAAAACUGUUUUCUCUGAAUGAAAUAUAUUAAAAUCCAGGAGGGAAGCUAACUUGUUCUGACACCACCACACAAGAGAACAGCACGUUAUAUAGCCCUCAUGUAUGUAAUCAUAUUAUCUUAUUUAAAUCUGGAUCAUUAACAUUCUUUGCAUUUUUAUAAGCUUCAGAAGAUAACCAGCUUAUGCUGGUAUAGAACAUUGUAUCUGGAGGAAAAUUGCUCUCCUGUGAAAUGGCAAAACUGAUUAAUAUCCAGUAUUGUAGCUUCUGAAAACAACUACACUAUGUAGUUAACUAUUUUACCCAUACCCAAAAAAGGUAGUGAUACAUAUUGAAGAGUAAUUAUGUAGUUGAAAAAUAAAUUUAAGGAAAACUGACUUUUGAUCUAAAAUUUAUUUUUAAGAAAAAAAUUGUCAAAGUUAUCGUCAGGUUUUUUUAAGAAAAAUGGAAAAAGAAAGAUUAAAAUGUCUAUUUUUUAAAGAUUUUGGUGAAUGGUAUAUAUCAAAGCAUUUUUUUGAAAAAAUGUUAACAAAUGCAUUUUUCACAAACAAUUAUUCUUCUAGGUUUGUUUCCUGCUUCUGAAUUAAAAAAUAGAACCAAACGCAUAAUGAGAUUUUUCAGAAAUUACUUUUCCCAGAAUCAUAUUUUUGAAUAGACCUAACACUCAAAAUUUUAAAUGUCUCCUUUUGCAAGCAACACUAGUCCAACUCAGUACCUACUGCACUUGAAGGCAGUAUAUGACUCAUAGAGUCAUACAAUAAUUUAAGAUGGAAGGGAUCUCUGAAGGUCAUCUAGUCAAAUCUUCCUCAAAGUGUGACUAACUUCAAAGUUAAAUUAGUUUUUACAGGAUAUAGCUUUUCCAGAAAGACUUUAUACAGGAUCUAGACAUCUGUGAUUAUAUGCCUAAGUGAGCUUUUUACAUGUAUGUCGGGGCUCAAAACAUGACUUACCACCAGGAAGGAAUGUGAAGUUAGCUCUCACAGUUUGCGAUGGCUUCCUAUGUCUUCUCCAGUUGUGAAAGAGCUUUCAGUUUGAAUCUCUGAAAAGAAAGUUUUGCUGUUCAGUAGCCAAAUAAACACUCACUUAAGUCCAUUUCACAUUCCUAAAAAUACUAAUAUUUAUCUUUUUUCCUUGGGUUCAGUUAUGAAGCUUGCUGCACAUGUAUGGAUGAAAAUCAUAAAUACAAGGAUGUCCUUUACAUGUUGUGCGAAUACUUCAUUUUGUCAGAUUCUGCAUGUGAGCAUGAUGAAGAAGGGAAGAAGUAACAGCUGUUGACCAACUUCUUUGCCAUUCAUGAGGGUUGAAUGAGAAGUAGGAGUAUGGAGUCAGGGUUGAGUGACUGUCAGGAGCACUGGCACAGAAGAGUGGAGGGAGUACAAUCUGGUUCACACCUUUGCGGUGAGAGAUUGGUACUACGCAGUCUUACUCUGAGUGACUCCUGCGGGUGCACUAUUCCCCCAGCAAUCAACGUUUGCAUACGCUCUUAUGACUCAAGCCCCCGCAAAAUAUUCACAGGAAAUUUAUGUAUAUACAUAUAACAAAUGUGCUCUUGAAUGUACCCUACAGAAAGAUGGAAGACUUUAAGGGUGUCAUAGUCUGUGUCUUAAUUAGAUAUUCUCUUUUGAAUUUCAUCUAAAGAUGCAAAAGCAGGUCCCAGAGCAUGUCCUAUUCAUGCUGCAGUUCCUCGACUCAUGUUUUCUAAAAGCCUCUAAUACCACUUGAUUUGUCAGUUGAUAUACAUAUGACUGAGGAUUUAGUUUGAGGCUCUGAGAACCUGCACAUUAGCACAUGUCCAAAACUGCUUUUAUACACAUAAGGAUUGUUUUUUAUCAUUUCAUAACUUUUUAAAAUUAACAAAUAUAUACAUAACUGUAGAGAUAUUUUGUGAAAUGACAUGGAAAAGCAGUUACAACAAAAAGGAUAAAAAAUCCACACACUUAGGCUGCCUUAUUUAGUUUGUCAAAAACACUUGAACUGUUGAGUGAAUCUAAUGGAAUUCAAUGAAUCUGCAAGUACAUUUUCAGUCCAUUGAAAAUGACUGUUAAUUCAAGGUUACUUCAUAAAACUGAAUCAUGAGCAAAGAUUAUUUGGUGAAGAUGAAAAAGGCAAAGAAAUAAAACAAACAAGCAAAUGGGUAUUAACAACUUAGAAAUUAGAACAAAGGAAAAAUGUUAACAGAGAUUUGUGCCAAUAAAAAGUAUUUUUUUUCUUACAGGGUCUUUCUUUGACUGUCAUUGGCCUAUCUAUCUGCUCACUGUGUAGAAAAAUUAUCUAUUGACUUCAAUAGCAGUAUUUCAAUUCAUGCAGGCAACCAUUUCCACUUGAAAAAAUCAUAAAUAUAAUUCAUGAGUGUUUUCUUAGACAAAUGGAAUUGCAAAGCUAUUCCUUUCUCCAUAUAUUUUUCACCCAAAUUCCAUUUUAAAGUAUUAUUUUGAGCUAGCAUUAAAAUAUGAAUAAAUUUAGUAACUCAUAAGCUUUUGUGGUUAUAUUUUCUUUUACAUAUAUUCUUAUGAAAGAAACAUUUGUCUUGUUAAUUUUUCUUCAUUUCUUGCCUUCAAUUGGCAUGUGAAGCACGAGAUGCUUAUAAGAUUACAAUUAUCUACUCAGUAAGAAAGGUUAUUUAUCAAGUAUAGAGUUACUGAAAACAUAAAGGAAUUAGUCUCUUUCUCCCCUUUGUUUUCUGUGCCUGUUGUUUCUGUUCCAAUUCUCUAGCUAGAACUGAGUUGCUGUCUAGACAACUGUAAUUCCAUCUUUCUUUUACACAGGUAGUAAGAUUAACUAUUGAUUUGGCCUACCCACAAAACUCCAAAAUAUAAAUGCAAACUGUGUUUGCCAAAAGGAAAUGGUGCCAGAUUAAGCUCAUAUCUUUUAAUGUUAAACUAGAUAAUUUUCAACAUAAAGCAAAUAGAGUAAGUUUAUUGUAAGUUUACAUACUCUACUUACUGUAUAGGAAGUCUAUUACAUGGCAAUUCUACUGGAAUUUAUAUGCUCACACUUCAGUAAGUCAUCUGAAAUGGUAUCACUUGGAAACCUUUUAGUUUAGCAGCAGAAUGUAAAUACUAAUGGAGGAAUGGUAAAGUGAUCACAUACUGGCUAAAGAGUGCACACAAAGAGAGCAAGCUAGAGGGAGACUGCUGGUGGAAGUUUCUGGUACUGGUCAUAGGAAAAAUGUCAGUUAA